rnacentral:rRNA from 1 species
UACGUAGGGGGCAAGCGUUGUCCGGAAUCAUUGGGCGUAAAGCGCGUGUAGGCGGCUCGAUAAGUCUGCUGUGAAAGUCCAGGGCUCAACCCUGGAAUGCCGGUGGAAACUGUCGAGCUAGAGUCCGGAAGAGGCGAGUGGAAUUCCUGGUGUAGCGGUGAAAUGCGCAGAUAUCAGGAGGAACACCAAUGGCGAAGGCAGCUCGCUGGGACGUUACUGACGCUGAGACGCGAAAGCGUGGGGAGCAAACAGG